UACCAGCACCCCGAGUGGUCGGGACGUUUAUUGGGCCUAAAGCAUCCGUAGCCGGUUCUACAAGUCUUCCGUUAAAUCCAACUGCUUAACAGGUGGGCUGCGGAAGAUACUAUAGAGCUAGGAGGCGGGAGAAGCAAGCGGUACUCGAUGGGUAGGGGUAAAAUCCGUUGAUCCAUUGAAGACCACCAGUGGCGAAGGCGGCUUGCCAGAACGCGCUCGACGGUGAGGGAUGAAAGCUGGGGGAGCAAACCGG
rnacentral:rRNA from 1 species